rnacentral:rRNA from 1 species
CCUACGGGAGGCAGCAGUGAGGAAUAUUGGUCAAUGGCCGUAAGGCUGAACCAGCCAAGUCGCGUGAGGGAAGACUGCCCUAUGGGUUGUAAACCUCUUUUAUGCGGGGAUAAAGGUGUCCACGUGUGGAUGUUUGCAGGUACCGCAUGAAUAAGGACCGGCUAAUUCCGUGCCAGCAGCCGCGGUAAUACGGAAGGUCCGGGCGUUAUCCGGAUUUAUUGGGUUUAAAGGGUGCGUAGGCCGGUCUUUAAGCGUGCCGGGAAAUUUUGUGGCUCAACCAUGGGAGUGCGGCGCGAACUGGAGACCUUGAGUGCGCGGAAGGCAGGCGGAAUUCGUGGUGUAGCGGUGAAAUGCAUAGAUAUCACGCAGAACUCCGAUUGCGAAGGCAGCUUACUAACCUGCCACUGACAUUGAUGCACGAAAGUGUGGGUAUCGAACAGGAUUAGAUACCCUGGUAGUC